AGUGGGGAAUAUUGGACAAUNGGCGCAAGCCUGAUCCAGCAAUGCCGCGUGUGUGAAGAAGGUCUUCGGAUUGUAAAGCACUUUCGACAGGGACGAUGAUGACGGUACCUGUAGAAGAAGCCCCGGCUAACUUCGUGCCAGCAGCCGCGGUAAUACGAAGGGGGCUAGCGUUACUCGGAAUGACUGGGCGUAAAGGGCGCGUAGGCUGUUUGGUAAGUUGGGCGUGAAAUUCCUGGGCUUAACCUGGGGGCUGCGUCCAAGACUGCCUGACUUGAGGAUGGAAGAGGCUCGUGGAAUUCCCAGUGUAGAGGUGAAAUUCGUAGAUAUUGGGAAUAACACCGGUGGCGAAGGCGGCGAGCUGGUCCAUUACUGACGCUGAGGCGCGAUAGCGUGGGGAGCAAACAGGAUUAGGUACCCUGGUAGUCCACGCCGUAAACGAUGUGUGCUGGAUGUUGGGGUUCCUAGAACUUCAGUGUCGUAGCUAACGCGAUAAGCACACCGCCUGGGGAGUACGGCCGCAAGGUUG
rnacentral:rRNA from 1 species